rnacentral:rRNA from 1 species
CACGUAGGCACCAAGCGUUGUCCGGAUUUAUUGGGCGUAAAGAGCUCGUAGGCGGUUUGUCGCGUCUGCUGUGAAAACCUAAGGCUCAACCUUGGGCUUGCAGUGGGUACGGGCAGACUAGAGUGCGGUAGGGGUGACUGGAAUUCCUGGUGGUAGCGGUGGAAUGCGCAGAUAUCAGGAGGAACACCGAUGGCGAAAGCG